AGGUCGUUAUCGGUGUGAUUGAGUUGAGAGAAGAAGCCAGAAUGGACCAUGAUUCGCAUCAAGCGAGGGAUGAAGUGAGUUUUGGAAGAGUGAAUUGGAAGUGAAGCAAUGAGGUUUGAGAGUGAGAUGGGUUGGCCAUGGUUGUGUAUGAUGUCUGGUAUUCCUAACUCAACAACACAUUUAAGGGACAUGGAGUUUAUGAAGCUAAAAAUAUGAUUCCAUAUGUGUGUUUGAGCCCUCAGUAGUUUGGCGUCAUGGGAUUCCAUAAUUUGUUGCAUAAACUACUUGUUCAAUUUGGAAUAUGGAACCUCAUACACCAUUUGGAUCUAUUUAUAAGCAACCGAAUAUGCAGGCAGCCCUCAGUAGUUUCUUUUAAGCAUUUGUUUAUGAUUUGCAUUAAGUCAUAUGCUUGCAUUUUUUUCUUAAUUACUCUAGUUUAGUUUUUCUCUAAGUUAAAUUUUAUACUUAUUCAUUAUGUAUCUAUUCCCCAACACGUCUAUAAUCCUUUCUAUGUAAUUUGAAAUUUCAUAUAAUUUCCUAUGGACGUUAAACACCGAAAAAAAAAAACACAGUUUCUUACAACUUUACAAUUGAAAUCUUUAUUUAAAAUCCACAAGAAAAAUUAGCCUUGUUUAAUCUUUUUCUCUGUCAAUUCUUACCAGAACAACUAUGUAUAAUAUACACACUCUAUAAAUAAAUAUACAAUAAUAAAAGUUAGCAUAAAAAAUAUUUAACUCAAAAUAACUUAUAAUCAUGAAUAUAGAUUUAUGUUAUUUCAGAAACUCUAAUCUAUUAUGUACAUUACUUAAGGUUGGUUGAAAAUCGUAACUUAUAAUUGAGCGUUAUUUACUAAAUCGGGAUAUAUUGUAAUUCCGUAGGAAAAUGAUAUUUUAACACCAAUUUUUUUGACAUUAUUUUCACACUAUAUACGUAUCAAAAUGUGGUUAACGAUUUCAAAUUAAAAAAAGUGGACAUUGACAAAUGUAAAGAAGGAAAAUGAUAUUUUAACACUAAUUUUUUGACAUCAUUUUGACAUUGUACACGUGUCAAAAUAUGAUUGGACGAUUUCAAAUUAAAAAAAAAACUUUAGUUUUUUUCUUCCAAAUAUAUCAUUGUCUCAGUUUUUUUAAUUUGAAAUCAUCCAAUCACAUUUUGACACGUAUGCAGUGUUAAAAUAAUGUCAAAAAUUGGUGUUAAAAUAUCAUUUUCCUGUAAAGAAAGGUUCAUUGCAGGAAGGUUGGCAAAUGUCUAUCCUACAGCAUGUGGUGUUGGUGUCGGUGGCUGUGAUGCAUCUUAUGAUGAUAUUGUGGUAUUUUCAUCGGAUGGGCCACUUUGCUUUCUAAAAAGAUAAAAACAAACUUGAACAUAUGCUUCAUGGCUUUGCCUUUCUUUUUUUUUUUUAAUUGGUACAAAUAAUAUCAACGAAACUUGAAUCGAAUUAAUAUAAAUAAUUAAUAUUUAAUUUAAUAUAAAAUAAUAAAUUUAUAGAUUUUGUUAUAUUACGUUUAAUUUUUUUUAUUAAGUGAGAGGCUCAAUCAUAACUUCAUAUAAAAUUCUUAAAAUAUAAGUCCUUUUAAUUGACAUUUUCACGUGAGAGUUUGAUGAACUAUAUUUCAGUGCCAACAUAUCACUACUUUCAACAUACCAAGUUUGGUUUAUGCCAAAGGCAUAUGAAAUCGCAACUAUAAUCAAGAUUAAUUCCUCACUUAAUUUUGGUUUGUAAAUAUUUUUCUCUUCAUCCAACUGAACUUUGUGUGAGGUAGGAGGAAAAGUUAAUGCAUACAAUAAAUAUGCUACAUUUUAAGAAAGGUAGUUUUCAGUGCAUGCAUCACACUUUCCAACGAUUGUUUUUAUACAUAUUCCUUCUUACAAUGUUGUGAUAAAAAAAAAUGUUUAAACGCCACUUAAAAAUUAUUUGACAAUUUAUACAAGGAUGUUUCACCCUCUACCUCUCUUUUUUCUUCAAGCAUCUUCAAAAUUACAAAUGUAAUCAAUCUUCAAUGUUUUAUUCAAUUAAUUUUUUUUUAUUUUUCUCGUCUACUUAUUACCUUUUUAGGCUUUAAUCAACUUUUAAAAACCGAUUAAAGAUUCAAAAAUAUAAAUUUAAGAUACGUUUUUCUCUUAAUAGACUUUUAAAAAUCCGUGAGCUCUUAAUAAAAAACAUUGUUUGAAAUACGUUUAAGAAAAAAAACGUAUGUUUAAUAAAUAAACUUACUUUAAUAUACGUUUAACAAAAAACAUAUUGAAAUACAUUUAUUUAUUAUACGUUUAAAAAAAUGUAUUAAAUUUAAAAUAAUAAAUUUUGAAAUAUCAAAAUAAAAAAAAUAAAAAAAACAAUUAAUAAAAUUUUAAAUAAAACAUUAUAACCAAAUACAAUUACAAUAUUUAAAAAAUCAACUAAAAUUAAAUUAAACAAUUAUAAACAAAUAACAAAAAUCAAUAUAAUUUCAAACAACAAAAAAUAUAUUUUUAUUUGGUUGUUAUUUUUAAAUUUUUUAUUUGAUUUUUUAAAAUAUUGUAAAUGUUAGAUAUUAUAUGUUUAUUAAGGAAAUAUAAUCCCUAUGCUUAUUAUUUUAUUUGCACAUAUUCAUUUGUAUUUGGACUCAACUCACAUUUUUAUUAUUAUAAAUACAUUACCCUAUGUGUAUGCAAAGACACAUAUGGGAGAUUUCUCCUCAUCUCUUUUACUAUUUCAUAUGGUGUCAGAGCUUAGGUUUCAUUCCAGCCUCUUCCAAGGUCUCUGGUACUUAUUACUGCCGUAGCCACUGCAGCCGUCGUCGUCGCCGCCAUCGCCGCCGUCACCAGCACCCUCGGAUCUUAGGUCUUUGACUCAGGCGCCACCGAUCAUAUAACUGGUAACAAGUCCUUGUUUUCUUCCUUGUCAUGUCCGGAUAAUUUACCCUCUGUCACAAUGGCUGAUAGGUCUAGAGUCUCAUCUCAUGGUAUUGGUACUGUUCAUAUUUUUCCGUCCAUAUCCAUUGAUCAUGUACUUUAUGUCCUUGGGUCUCCCUUCAACUUAUUGUCCAUAAGUUGUCUAACUCGUUCCCUUAAUUGUGUUAUUUCAUUUACCAAAGAUUCUGUUUGUUUGCAGGACCGGAGUUCGAAACACAUGAUUGGCACAGGAUGUGAGUCUCAUGGCCUAUAUCUUCUUCACCCUUCUCCACAUGCUGGCGUCAUCAUGGAGUCACCAUCCCUUCUUCAUGCUCAGUUAGGUCAUCCCAGUCUUGCCAAACUGCAACAACUUGUUCCGAGUUUGUCGAAGUUAUCAAGUUUGACGUGUGAGUCUUGUCAGUUAGGAAAGCAUACUCGUAGUUCAUUUCCUCGUAGUGUUUCACAACGAGCGUCGUCCCCCUUUUCAUUAGUUCAUUCUGAUAUUUGGGGACCUAGUCGUGUUAAGUCCACUUUAGAAUUUCAGUAUUUUGUUACGUUUAUUGAUGACUAUUCCAAACGUACUUGGUUGUUUUUAAUGAAAAAUCGUUCUAAGUUGUUUUCUAUUUUCCAGUCGUUUUCAAUGAAAUAAAACAACAAUUUGGGGUUUCUAUUCAAACUUUACGCAGUGAUAAUGGCCGUGAAUACCUUUCUCAAUCGUUUAAACAUUUUAUGACUUCUCAUGGCAUUCUUCACCAGACCUCAUGUGCUUAUACUCCUCAACAAAAUGGGGUGGCUGAGCGCAAGAAUAGACACCUUAUUGAAACAACUCGUACACUUUUAAUCCAUGGCUAAGUACCCUCGCGUUUUUGGGGUGAUGCAGUUCUCACUGCAUGUUAUCUCAUAAACCGCAUGCCGUCUUCUGUCCUAGAUAACAAAAUCCCUCAUUCUGUCUUAUUUCCUCAAGACCCUUUACAUCCAUUACCUCUUAGAGUCUUUGGGUCUACAUGUUUUGUUCAUGAUUUUAGUCCUGGUCUUGAUAAGUUAUCUCCUAGAUCUCACAAAUGUGUCUUCUUAGGAUUUCCGCGGUCACAAAAGGGCUAUAAGUGUUUUUCCCCUUCCAUCAAUCGUCAUUUUAUCUCCGCUGAUGUCACCUUUGAUGAAUCUUCGUUUUAUUUUUGACAUCUAUCUUCUAGUUUUGUACCUCCACCUACUACUGUUGAUAUUCCUAUUGCCUGUGAUCCUUUAGACUCUCAUUCCCCACAGGAUCGUCCUUCAACUCCACCCCUUUAGGUUUAUAGUCGUCGCAAUUGUCUCCCUCAUGACUCACCUCCUAUGCCGCCUCCUGUGUGUCCUCCGGCUCCAGCAAAUGAGUCUGACCUACCUAUUGCCCUCCGUAAAGGUAUACACUCUACUCGUAACCCUUCCCCCCAUUAUACUGUUCUUAGUUACCACAUAUUAUCUCCAUCUUUUUACACAUGUCUCUCAUUCAUUUCUUCUGUCUCAAUUCCCAAGUCUGUGGGUGAUGGAUUAACUCAUCCUGGUUGGCGUCAAGCCAUGCUGGAUGAAUUAAGUGGUUUACAGAAAAGUGGAACUUGGGAGCUUGUCCAAUUAUCAUCUGGAAAGUCUGUUGUUGGUUGUAGAUGAGUGUAUGCUAUCAAAGUUGGCCCUGAUGGUACAAUUGAUCGUUUGAAGGCUCGAUUGGUUGCCAAAGGCUACACACAGAUUUUUGGUUUGGAUUAUGGUGAUACUUUUUCUCCAAUGACGAAAAUGACCUCUGUUCGCCUAUUCAUUGCCAUGGCUACUCUUCGACAAUGGCCUUUUUACCAAAUUGAUGUCAAAAAUGCUUUCCUUAAUGGUGAUUUGUAUGAAGAAAUUUAUCUGGAGCAACCACCCGGCUUUUUUGCUGAAGGGGAGUCUUUUGGAUUGGUAUGUCAUCUUCGCAAAUCCUUAUAUGGCCUAAAACAGUCUCCUCAGGCCUGGUUUGGUAAAUUCAGCAGUGUUGUUCAAAAAUUUGGUAUGUCUCGCAGUGAAGCGGAUCAUUAAGUGUUCUAUCGCCACUCAAGUGCUGGAUGUAUCUACUUAAUAUUAUAUGUUGAUUACAUUGUUCUCACAGGAAGCGACUGUCUUGGCAUCUCUCAAAUGAAACAACACCUUUGUCACCAUUUUCAAACCAAAGAUCUUGCCAAACUCUGGUACUUUUUAGGUAUUGAAGUAGCACAAUCCAAUGAUGGUAUUGUCAUAUCUCAAAGGAAGUAUGCGUUAGAUAUCUUGGAGGAAACAGGGUUAAUGAACUGUAAAUUUGUUGAGACACCUAUGGAUCCUAACAUCAAACUCCUACCAAAUCAGGGGGAGCCUUUCUCAGAUCCUGAACGGUAUAGAAGAUUAGUUGGUAAAUUAAACUAUCUUACUGUUACGCGUCCUGACAUUUCCUUCACAGUUAGUGUGAUGAGUCAAUUUCUAAACUCCCCAUGUAAAGACCAUUGGGAUGCAGUUGUUCGCAUACUGAAAUAUAUUAAAGGAUCACCUGGAAAAGGUUUGCUAUAUGGUUCUAACAACGAUACAAAGCUCGUUUGUUAUUCAGAUGUUGAUUGGGCUGGUUCCCCUUCUGAUAGGAGGUCUACUUCUGGAUAUUGUGUCUCUAUUGGUGGCAACCUGAUAUCUUGGAAAAGUAAGAAACAAAGUGUUGUGGCUAGGUCCAGCGCAAAAGCAGAAUAUAGAGCUAUGACAUCAACUACAUGUGAGCUUGUGUGGCUUAAACAAUUACUUAGUGAAUUGAAAUUUGGAGAUGUCACUCACAUGACACUUAUAUGUGAUAAUCAAGUUGCUCUUCAUAUUAGCUCUAAUCCCAUCUUCCAUGAGAGAACCAAGUACAUUGAAGUUUAUUGCCAUUUUAUUAGAGAAAAAAAUCAUAUCCGGAGAUAUCAAGAGUGAGUUCGUUAACUCAAGCAACCAGUUAGCAGAUAUAUUCACUAAGUCCUUGCGAGGACAUAGAAUUGAUUAUCUUUGUAACAAGCUUGGAACAUAUGAUUUAUAUGCUCCAGCUUGAGGGGGAGUGUUAAAUAUUAUAUGUUUAUUAGGGAAAUAUAAUCCCUAUGUUUAUUAUUUUAUUUUCACAUAUUUAUAUGUUUAUUAGGGAAAUAUUUUAUUUUUCUAGAAAUUUAGAACAAAAUUUUACGAUUUAUUAAGUAAUUUGAAAAGUAAAAAAUAUAUUCAACAGCGAAAAUAUAAUUGAAUCAAACUUAUUUAAGAAAAUAUAUCACAAGUUCAAAUUUGAGUCAUGUAAAUGCUCCAUUAAUGAGCCAUAUAAAUGUUUCAUUAAUGUAAAGAGAGAAAGAGAAAGAUUUUUAAAGAUAGUGGGGAGGUGUAGGGUAUUUUUAGAAUAAAAAAAAUAAUGAGGAAGCGUAAAAUAUUUUUAAAAUAAAUUAAAAUAGUGGGGAGGUGCAGGACCCGCUUGGGGAGGUGGAGGGAGCAACACCCAUUUAUUUAUAAUAAUAAUAAUGUUUUUUUUACAUAUAAUAUCUAUAAUUUUAACAUUAUAUUAUGUUUUAACUCGACAUGUUUGACUCAAAUAACUUGAAUAAAAUAUUUAAUUUAUUAGAUAAAUAAUAUAAAAAUAUUAUUAAAUACUUAAAGGAUUAAUACCUCCAUUGGUCCUCAUAUUUGUAUGUCAAUCUCAAUUUGGUCCUCAAGUUUUGAACUGUCUCAAUUGGGUCAUAAUUUUUGUAAAAAUGCACACAUUUUACCCUAACUGUUAAGUUGUCUCAAAUGUCGUUAAUUGAUGCUGAGAUGAAUUUUUUAUUUUAGGCUUAAUUCCUCCCUUGGUCCUUAUGUUUGUGUGAAAAUCUCAGUUCGGUCCUCAAGUUUUUCCUCAAGUCCUUAUGAAAUGCAAACAUUUUAUAACAUUUUACCCCAACCAUUAAGUCUAUUGAGACAACAUUAACUUUGAAUUGAACUGUAAUUUUUUUUUUUUAUGUUUUAAAAUCAUUAAAUCCACGUGGCUAUGGUCUUUCUUUUUUCCUUCCAAUCACUUAUCACAAUUUUUCCUCAAGUCCUUAUGAAAUGCAAACAUUUUAAAACAUUUUACCCCAACCGUCAAGUGUAUUGAGACGGCGUUAACUUUGAACUGAGCUGUAAUUUUUUUGUUUAUGUUUUAAAAUCAUUAAAUCCUCGUGGCUAUAGUCUUUCUUUUUCCUUCUAAUCACUGAUCACAUUUCACUCAUUCCUCCACCCUCAAACCCCCCGACUCACACCUUUUCUCCCUCUUAAACUAAAAAAUGUCGUCGUUGUCGACAGUUCAAAAAUUAUGACCCAAUUGAGAAAGUUCAUAACUCGAGGACCGAACUGAGAUUUUCACACAAACAUAAGGACCAAGAGAGGGAUUAAGCCUAAAAUAAAAAAAAUCAUCAGCAUCAAUUAAUGUAAUGCCCCGGCAACUUACAAGGACUGUUGACUGCCCCCACACAUCAACACGAGCCUUUCCAGUGUGCUUUGUCCUCACUCACACACUUUCUGAGAAAACUUCCCGGAAGGUCACCCAUCCCAUAAUUACUCUAAGCCAAGCACGCUUAACCAUGAAGUUCUUAUGAGUUAGGCUACCGAAAAACAAAUGCAUUUGUUGAUAUGAGUAGCCAAAUCAAUUCCUUUAAGCUACCCUUCAAUUAUAUAGUCCCAUACCUAUACAAUCUUCAGAUCCCUCUCAUUCCGGUUUGUGUUCAAUUCGUCCAUGUGCCCCUUCCACUCAAAGUCUGCCAGGAGCCGCUCCUUGUCCGUGCCCCCUGCACCAUGCCUCUUGCACCGGCGAUCACGCCCCGGCCUCGUCAGUGCCCGGGUGUCACUGAUACCAUUUGUAACGCCCCGACAACUUACAGGGACUGCUGACUGCCCCUACAGAUCAACACGAGGCUUUCCAGUGUGCUUUGUCCUCACUCACACACUUUCCGAGGAAACUUCCCGGAAGGUCACCCAUCCCAUAAUUACUCUAGGCUAAGCACGCUUAACCAUGGAGUUCUUAUGAGUUAAGCUACCGAAAAGCAAAUAAUGUGUGCAUUUUUAUAAAAAUUAUGACUUAAUUGAGACAAUUCAAAACUUGAGGACCAAACUGAGAUUUGCACACAAAUACGAGGACCAAUGGAGAUAUUAAACCAUACUUAAAAUAUAAAAAAAAAAGUUAUUUGUUAAAGAUUUAGAAUUUAUUAGUUCUUUCGUCAUUAUAAAGUUAGUAUAUAAUAAUAAUAAUAAUAAUAAUAUAUCAUUAUUUAUUAUUAAUAUUAUUAUGUUUAUUAUUUUGUAUUUGCAUCUAACUUUUAAUUUUAUAAAAUGGAAAUAGUAGAAGUACUAAUAUUGAAGUUUUCUCUGAAUUUUAUAUUUUGUAAUAUAUCACAAAUUCAAAUCUGAACCAUGUAAAUGUUCCAUUAAUGUAGAGAGCGAAAAAGAAAGAUUUUUAAGGAUAGUAGGGGAGGUGUAGGGUAUUUUUGGAAUAAAAGAAAAUAGUGGUGAGGUGUAAAAUAUUUUUAAAAUAAAUUAAAAUAGUGGGGAGGUGCAAGACUACUUGGGGAGGUGGAGGGAGCAACACCCUAAAUACAUUAUCCUAUAUGUAUGCAAAGACACACAAAGGAGAUUUCUCCUCAUCUCUUUUACUAUUUCAUAGUAAUUAUAUUUAGUUGUUAUUUUUUAUUUGAAAUUUUGUAAAUGUUUUUUUUUUCUGUUUUGUUUGUUUUAUUUAAAUUUUUUAAAAUUUAUUAUUUGUUAGUUUAAAUUUAAUACGUUUUUUUAAACGUAUUUCACACAUUUGUUGAAUUCUUAAUUUUCGAAAACCGAUUAAAAAUUAAAAUGAUUCUAUAAGAGAAGAGAGAAAAAAAAAAUUUAAUAAAAAGUUGAAGGCCAUGUUUGUAAUUUUGGUGUAAAUUAGUAUGAAAUGGAUGUAAAAAGGUUUUGGAUAAUAUUUAAUUUGUAAUAAAAUGUUUAAUGUCACAUAGUCUAAAUUAAAAAAAAAAUGACUACUGAAAUUUAUGUACUCAAUUCUUACAAAAUUUAAGUGUGAAAAUUUUUCUAUAGAAUUUUAAUUUAUUUAACACUACAAUAAGGUGAGGUGUUACUGUAUAUAUUUCCAAUGUGAAAGUAAAAUUUUACAUUUGAGCUUAUGUUUAUUCUCAUUAAGCACAAAAUUUUGUAUUUCAUCCAUUUUCUAGUAUGUACAUAUUUCCAAUGUGAAAGUAAAAUUUUACAUUUGUGCUUAUGUUUAUUCUCAUUAAGCACAAAAUUUUGUAUUUCAUCCAUUCUAGUAUGGUAUCAUUGCAUAUUUACUUUUAUAUUACUUAAAUAUUAAUUUAAUAUUUUUUAAUAAAAAGUAUAAAUUAUGUGAAAAAAAUUAUAUUACAAAGGUUUAAAAGGUUGGAUAUUUUCUUCUGUUAUAUAAAAUAUAAUUUAUAAUUUGAUAAAUAUUGAAAUGAAUUCUUGUAUAAAUAAAUGUGUAAUAUGUAUAGAAAGGAGUACAAUUAUAAUGUUUAUAUUCUUUUUUAUGUUGAGAAAGUAAAUGUUUUCAGACGUAGGGUUGAAGUUGAUUAUUCAAUGUCUAUUAAGUUGUUUAAGAUUCAAAAGAUAUUUUGAAAUUCAAGUUCUCUAGUAAUUUUUUUGUCUAAUUUAUUUGGAGUAUAUUUGUAGAAGGUAUUUUCGUAACUUACCUUCUUACUUCAAACUUGUAUUUUUAGAUUUUCGAAUGGAUUUUUUAUUAACAACGACCUAAUUACGGUUCAAUUGUGGAUAAUCACAAUUUACCUUUAAAUUGGUCAACAUUAGGGUUGAUUGUCCUGACCAAUGACCAAUCGAUUCACUUUCUUGAUUGUUUGGUCCUAGCGGUGGCUCGCUCACACAUCCAAAUGAAGCGGAUGGUUAAACUAUAUAUAGGUCCCCAAAACCCGAGCUUGAAAUGAUUGGCGAAGGGGUUUGAAGUUAAGUGAAUAGUUGUCGCUGCUCUUGCCAUUCAAGGAUGGUUCAAAUCUCCAUCGUCCGUUCAAGGGGCGUUCAAACUGUUUGGUGAACUAGUUGAAUAUCUUUUGAAGUGAUUGAAAAUAUGAUUGUCGGGGGAAUGACGUGUGACGGUUUGAAUCCCGCGUAUGUAAGAAUUCGAAGAGUAGGGUGCUCUGAGCCGUUGGAUCUAGCUUGAUUAAAAGGUUGAGGAUGAUUAACAUUUAAGGCCUUCGCAGCUAUAAAUAAGGGUUAGCCUCGCUUAUCAUUUUCACCUUUGCUCUCGUACUUUCUUUUGUAGACCGAUCGUUCUUCAAAUUUCAGAAAAUAAUGUCGACCAUAAAGUUGCCUUUGUUAGAGGAGUCCAAGAGAAAGAGCAAUCGAGGGUAUGUGGGGGGAUGUUUCUUCGUUUUUGGUGUCAUUGUCUAUCGCUUCUCCUAUUUUGGGAUCAAUCAAGCGGGACACAGAUUCGACCGAUAGCGUAGUUCAUGCAAAUACAAAUAAGGUCAUACUUGUUAACGAUGUUGAGGCCAACGUUGAGUUGGAAAUCAAAAUUGCUAAUGAGAUGUGGCCGCUCAAUCUUUCCCGGUCAUUACGGGUUAUAACUUGGUACCUCACAAGGUUGAGGAAUAUGUAACCUGCUUUCGCAUGGGACAUCAGUUGAAGCGGUAGGGUGACGGACUUACUUUGUUGAGUUCAAAAAGAGAGUUAAGAUGUUCAACUUGAUUCUGUGUAAGGGGAACAAAUAGGUAUAUAUCACAGGAAGAAGAGGCGACAAGGGUUCACAAAUGAACUCAUCCUUCAGAAGCUUGACGUGAGGUUAACAAGGGUUCAUGGAUGAAUUCAUCAUUCACCAACCUCUUAUUUUUAUUCGUUGGAGUCGUUGAGGCAAACUAGUGUUGUGGUUGUAUUGGUAUGUGAGGCAUAAGUCGAACACUUUACUCUCGGUAUAUGGCUACAUUAUUAUGUUAGGCACAAAUAACCAAACACUUUACUCUUGGUAUAUGGCUACAUUAUUAGCCUUGAGGGUCAUCAGUUGCUCUUCAUAUCUUCGUUGCAUUUGCUUCGUCUACCUUUUCAUUUUCCUUAUCAUCUCCACUUCACUAGGUUGAUUAUCUGAUUAUUCUACCAUAACAUUGCUCGUCCAUAUUCCUUGUAGUCAACAUUAGGUUAUUGGUUGUCGAAUAAACGGCCCCACAAUGGAUGCCAAAAUGUUUUGUGAUGUAAGGUCGAGGUCAACAGUCCAACGUCGAGUAAAUCACCCAAGGUCCAAAAUGUUGUCUUGAAAUUCAAGUCCUCUUGUAACCACUCGUCCAAUUCGUUCAGAGGGUACUCUGAUGUCAAAGUUAGGUCAAUAUUGACAGUUCAAAUAUUAAUGAUGUAGUAAAUGCAAAUCACUUACAUCUUUUCCUCAAAAAUAUAUUUAUAGAUUUUGAAGUGAGUUUUUGAUUAAGAGUAGUCUAAUUACGAUCCAAUUGUGAGUAAUCACACUUUACUUCUAAGUUGGUCAACAUUAAGAUUAAUUGUCUUAACCAAUGGCCGAUCAGUCUUGAUGGUGACUCGCUCACGAGUCCGAAUGAAAACUGACCGUCUAGUCUGUGACUGACCAAACAGUCAUACAAUAUAGUAAUAUCUUUGAAAUUUUAAUGAAUUUGGUAGAUUAUAGUUAAAUUAUAUAGUUGAAAAAAUCAAAUGAAAUAAUAUAUAUAUAUAUAUAUAUAUAUAUAUAUAUAUAUAUAUAUAUAUAUAUAUAUAUAUAUCAAUUUUCAUGAUACACAAAUAGUUAUUCUCAUCUCAUUUUUAUACCUAAUUAUAAAAAAUCCUACUGAUAUUCAUCAUGUUUAAUCAAUGAUGUUUAAUCAAUGAUGAGAAUUGGUAAAGAAAAAUAUCGUAGGUUUAUUUGGUAUCCCUAAUAAUAAAACGUUUAGAACAUUUAUAUUUAAUGUAUUAAAAUAAAAUUAUUUAAUUUUAAGUUUAUUAACUUCAUUAUUUUAGUAACCUUUCUUACAACUAUUAAGAUUUGAUGUUCAAUUUUCUUUUCACCUAAUUGUAUCCGCGAAUAAGGACAUUAUUCAUUCCUCUUUUUGAUAAUAUUCUUCUCUUUUUAUAAUCUUUUAUAUUAUUUUGAUUUCAUAAUUUCAAAUUCUUCUAUGUGGUUUUAAAUUAUAUAAGUUAUACAUGAACUAGAAGAAGCAGACAACCAAGCUCAACAUUAAAACUUGUGUUCGAGUAAGUCUCGCUAUCAGUAACUUCAAAACAUCUAUCAAUAAUCAAGACAAACAUUUUUCAUAAUUAAAACACUAAGAUUUAUUAAAUCAACAAUUUCUUAUUCAUCAUAUCCUUCAGAAACUAUCUUUUUCACAUGCAACAAUCCUCACAAACUUAUUUCUUGAAAUUUCAAAUACAGCUUCAUCUUGUUGAGGGACUAUGGAUAGAUCUGAAUAAGAGACCUUGACCCCAAAACGGGAGUUAUUGUGUAGUUAUUGAAACCAGCAGAGGAAAACAACUUAACCCAUUCCUUCUCGUUUCUCUCCUUUCCCUUCACCAACACCAUCAUCAACAUGUCAAAGAAAAGCUGUGUUUCAACAUAUUCUUUAUCUUUCACUUCAUUAUCCAUCACCAUGUCUAUGAUUAUCACUUUCCCUUCUUUCCCUUUCUUAGAUAUAGCUUCCUUGCAUUUCUUCAAUAUUCUCACACACUCCUCAUCGUUCCAGUCAUGUAAUAUGCACUGUUUUCUCAUCCAAAAAGUAGAAGGAAUUCAGAUGAUUAGAAUAAGGAUCUCAGGUAAUAUAAUUAAUAUAUAGGGCCACUUAUUAUAAGUCAAAUACACCUAACAUUAACUUAAUUAGCUCUAUUUAUCAAUUAGAAAAAGAUUCAACCAUGCUUGUACCAAUCUACAUCCAAAGAAAGAACUCAGCCAAGUAAUUUGAGGANAGGAGAGAAUAAAAAUGAGGAGCAAUAUUACUAUAUAUAAUUUUCUAUAUUGUUUCGAUGUUUAUAUAUGAGAAGUUGCAGAAGUAGUUAGAAUACACUAAUGCUACCUUAGUUACCGAUAAUCAUUAUAUAUGUUUAUUAUUUCAUUUGAUCAACAAUGGUGAUAUUGUUCUUUCUUUUCCAAUUGAUCAAUUCGUUGGUUCAAUUAUCUGAAGUUUAACAUCACUCAAGUAAAUUAAAAGAAAAGUUAAGAAUGUAACGGUGUACUAUGACUUGUAACGAUAUUUUACCUUCAACAAAAUGGCAUUUGUUGGAGGAAUUGCCUCAAACAUGUCCCCUCCAAUAUAUUUAAGGUUUUCGCUUUCUUGCAAGCCAGAAACAACAUGUGGAAGAUCAAAUACAAUGCAUUCCAACUGAGGGAAGGAUUCGGCAAUGGCCUUUCCCAUGGUUCCUGUACCUCCCCCAACAUCAACCAAUGACUCCAAUCCCAUGAACACCCCUUUGCAUUUCUCAAUCACCCAACUAGUUAUUAGUUGAGCAUCACUUGCCAUCGCAUCAUUGAAUAAGAUGUUAAAUCUGGGAUCACUUCCAGCAUACUCCCAAAACGAUUUCCCAUGCGUCAUUUCAAAGGGUGUAGUAAUACCAUUUUUGAACCAACUAGAAAACUGAGUCCAUGGAUUUGUUAAAACUGGAUCAAGCAUGGCCUGCAGGAAAGGUGCCAUACUCAUUUCAUGGCUCUUAAGCAGAAGGAAAGAGGCAUCAGUGAGUGCAUACUUGACUUCAAGGUCGUUGUCGGUGUGAUUGAGUUGAGAGAAGAAGCCAGAAUGGACCAUGAUUCGCAUCAAGCGAGGGAUGAAGUGAGUUUUGGAAGANUGAAUUGGAAGUGAAGCAAUGAGGUUUGAGAGUGAGAUGGGUUGGCCAUGGUUGUGUAUGAUGUCUGCUAUGCCUAACUCAACAACACACUUAAGGGACAUGGAGUUUAUGAAGUUAAAAAUAUGAUUCCAUAUGUGUGUUUGAGCCCUCAGUAGUUUUGCAGCCUCGUCUUCACCACGGGAUUCCAUAAUGUGCUGCCUAAACUACUCUUUCA
rnacentral:lncRNA from 1 species